rnacentral:misc_RNA from 1 species
GUGAAUCAUCGAAUCUUUGAACGCAAAUUGCACUCUCUUCGGAGAGUAUGCCUGUCUGAGGGUCAGUAUUAAUAAAAAUCGGUGUGUUGCUUCUUUGUGACGAUUCGGAGUUUGGGUCUUCUUAAUAUCUUUUAGUUUUUUAGUGGCUUACAAUUGACUUUGUUUGCGCAUUUUAGAUGUAGUUAAAUUUUUUUUUUUUAUUGUUCUGUCUUAUUGCUCAGAAUCCUAUUCGUUGCGACUAUGUUGUGUGG